GUAGAUUGUGCAAGAAAGACUCACGAUAGCUUGGAAAAAUUCACUUCCAAGACCCUUGCUUUGACACUCAAAAAGGAGUUUGAUGGGGUAUAUGGACCAGCUUGGCACUGUAUAGUAGGGACCGGUUUUGGGUCUUUUGUAACACAUUCAGUGGGUGGGUUCAUAUACUUCUCUAUGGACAACAAGCUACAUGUCCUCUUGUUCAAGACAACUGUACACAAAGCACAUUAAAAGUAUUAAACAAGGAGAUGACAUUCAUUUCCUUUUGAUAUAGACAAAAUUUAUAUAUAUCUCCUCAAUUGUUUGCAACAUUAUUGGCAUGUUUGGUUACUAGUGGCGUCUAAGUGGUGAACGUAACUUGAUACUAGAAUGAACAAGUUUUAACUUUUUUUCUUGCUUAACUCGCGACCUACUGACUAAUGUUAUUCAAUAAAUGUUCCCAAGAAAAGUUGGGGUAAUGUUCUUCCCACCUCAGUUAACAUUGUCAUUAGGUCAUUUUUUAAUGGCCCUUUAGUUACUCCAUUAGUAAUUGUAUUUAGUUGGGAUUUUGAGUAUGCAAAACCUGUUUAGUUACAUUAGAUAGUUUAUGCCUAUGAUAAAGCAUUUGGAUUUCCUU